rnacentral:rRNA from 1 species
UCGGGAAUUUUGGGCAAUGGGCGAAAGCCUGACCCAGCAACGCCGCGUGAAGGAUGAAGUAUUUCGGUAUGUAAACUUCGAAAGAAUAGGAAGAAUAAAUGACGGUACUAUUUAUAAGGUCCGGCUAACUACGUGCCAGCAGCCGCGGUAAUACGUAGGGACCAACCCCCGCGUUGUUCGGAUUUACUGGGCGUAAAGGGCGCGUAGGCGGCAAUUCAAGUCAUCUGUGAAAUCUCCGGGCUUAACUCGGAACGGUCAGAUGAUACUGCUUUGCUAGAGUGCAGAAGGGGCAAUCGGAAUUCUUGGUGUAGCGGUGAAAUGCGUAGAUAUCAAGAGGAACACCUGAGGUGAAGACGGGUUGCUGGGCUGACACUGACGCUGAGGCGCGAAAGCAAGGGGAUCAAACAGGAUUAGAUACCCCCGUAGUCCCUGAGCGGGCUGGCAAGGCGCAU